AUGACCUCCUCUUACCGGCCGGCCGCCACGACGAGCCCGGAGGCGACGGCGGCAGUACCCAAGGUGGAGGCCGAAGCGGCGGCGACGGCGGCCCGAAACCCUAGCUCCCCCAGCGGCCCGCCGUCGCCGGAGAUGGAGGCCACGGCGGAGGCGCUCACGCGGGAGGAGGUGCUACGCCGGAGGCGCCGACGCACGGCGCGGCUCGUUGGCGUGUACCGCCGGCUGUACUGGGCGAUGGCAGAGGAGGUGCGCGCGCGGCACCGGCAGUACGUCUGGGAGCUCGGCCGCAGUCCGCUCGAGGCCGAGCAGCCCCCGUCGGCCGCGUGCUCGGAGGCGAAGCCUGGGCCGGCGGCGGUGCCGAGGAGGAAGAAGUGUGGGUUCACGGGCUGCAAGGUGCGGGCGAUGCCUAUGGCCAAGUACUGCCACUCCCACAUCCUCUCCGAUCCCAAUCAGGCCCUGUACAAGGGAUGCGGUCAAAUCAUCAAGAGUGGUGCACAGAUUGGGCAAAUUACUUGCAGCAGGCCCAUCCUAAAAGCUUCAGUUCCCUCCCUCUGCAAUGUUCACUUGCAAAGAUCUCAGAAGAACAUAUCACAGGCUUAUAAGAAAGUUGGCUUUAAUCCACCCCCUACUGGCCAGAUCUCCCCAGAUUUUAGUGUCUUAGUUGCCGAAUGUGUCCGUCAGAUCCAGGCCAGGAGGAGAGAAUCCCGAAGUGUUGCAGCAGGGAAGAAAUGCCCCAAAGAUGGGAAAGUUGGCUGA
rnacentral:rRNA from 1 species